rnacentral:rRNA from 1 species
CCCUUAGAUGUUCUGGGCCGCACGCGUGCUACACUGACCGGCGCAACAAGUUUCUUUCCUUGGCUCGAUAGGCCUGGGUAAUCUUUGAACGCCGGUCGUGAUGGGGAUAGAUCCUUGCAAUUUUUGAUCUUCAACGAGGAAUUCCUAGUAAAUGCGAGUCAUCAUCUCGCGUUGAUUACGUCCCUGCCCUUUGUACACACCGCCCGUCGCACCCACCGAUUGAAUGGUCCGGUGAAGCCUCGGGAUUGCGAAUGCUUCGUGCGGACGCGAGAACUUGGCUAAACCUUACCAUUUAGAGGAAGGUGAAGUCGUAACA